rnacentral:rRNA from 1 species
GAGUUUGAUCAUGGCUCAGGACGAACGCUGGCGGCGUGCUUAACACAUGCAAGUCGAGCGAUGAAGCUUCCUUCGGGAAGUGGAUUAGCGGCGGACGGGUGAGUAACACGUGGGCAACCUGCCUCAAAGAGGGGAAUAGCCCACCGAAAGGAGGAUUAAUACCGCAUAAAGUUAGAGUUUCGCAUGAAACUUUAACCAGAGGAGUAAUCCGCUUUGAGAUGGGCCCGCGUCCCAUUAGCUAGUUGGUAGGGUAAUGGCUUACCAAGGCAACGAUGGGUAGCCGACCUGAGAGGGUGAUCGGCCACAUUGGAACUGAGACACGGUCCAGACUCCUACGGGAGGCAGCAGUGGGGAAUAUUGCGCAAUGGGGGAAACCCUGACGCAGCAACGCCGCGUGGGUGAUGAAGGUUUUCGGAUCGUAAAACCCUGUUUUCUGGGACGAUAAUGACGGUACCAGAUGAGGAAGCCACGGCUAACUACGUGCCAGCAGCCGCGGUAAUAC